AGUGAACGCUGGCGGUAGGCCUAACAUAUGCAAGUCGAACGGCAGCACAGUAAGAGCUUGCUCUUACGGGUGGCGAGUGGCGGACGGGUGAGGAAUACAUCGGAAUCUACUUUUUCGUGGGGGAGAACGUAGGGAAACUUACGCUAAUACCGCAUACGACCUACGGGUGAAAGCAGGGGAUCUUCGGACCUUGCGCGAUUGAAUGAGCCGAUGUCGGAUUAGCUAGUUGGCGGGGUAAAGGCCCACCAAGGCGACGAUCCGUAGCUGGUCUGAGAGGAUGAUCAGCCACACUGGAACUGAGACACGGUCCAGACUCCUACGGGAGGCAGCAGUGGGGAAUAUUGGACAAAGGGCGCAAGCCUGAUCCAGCCAUACCGCGUGGGUGAAGAAGGCCUUCGGGUUGUAAAGCCCUUUUGUUGGGAAAGAAAAGCAGCAGGUUAAUACCCCGCUGUUCUGACGGUACCCAAAGAAUAAGCACCGGCUAACUUCGUG
rnacentral:rRNA from 1 species